rnacentral:rRNA from 1 species
GACGAACGCUGGCGGCGUGCCUAAUACAUGCAAGUCGAGCGGACCAAAGGGAGCUUGCUCCUGGAGGUUAGCGGCGAACGGGUGAGUAACACGUGGGCAACCUGCCUGUAAGACUGGGAUAACAUCGAGAAAUCGGUGCUAAUACCGGAUAAUAAAAAGAACUGCAUGGUUCCUUUUUGAAAGAUGGUUUCGGCUAUCACUUACAGAUGGGCCCGCGGCGCAUUAGCUAGUUGGUGGGGUAACGGCUCACCAAGGCGACGAUGCGUAGCCGACCUGAGAGGGUGAUCGGCCACACUGGGACUGAGACACGGCCCAGACUCCUACGGGAGGCAGCAGUAGGGAAUCUUCCGCAAUGGACGAAAGUCUGACGGAGCAACGCCGUGUGAGUGAUGAAGGUUUUCGGAUCGUAAAACUCUGUUGUUAGGGAAGAACAAGUGCCGUUCGAAAGGGCGGCACCUUGACGGUACCUAACGAGAAAGCCACGGCUAACUACGUGCCAGCAGCCGCGGU